UACGGAGGGUGCAAGCGUUAUCCGGAUUUAUUGGGUUUAAAGGGUCCGUAGGCGGAUCUGUAAGUCAGUGGUGAAAUCUCAUAGCUUAACUAUGAAACUGCCAUUGAUACUGCAGGUCUUGAGUAAAGUAGAAGUGGCUGGAAUAAGUAGUGUAGCGGUGAAAUGCAUAGAUAUUACUUAGAACACCAAUUGCGAAGGCAGGUCACUAUGUUUUAACUGACGCUGAUGGACGAGAGCGUGGGGAGCGAACAGG
rnacentral:rRNA from 1 species